UGGGGAAUAUUGCGCAAUGGGCGAAAGCCUGACGCAGCAACGCCGCGUGAGUGAUGAAGGCCUUCGGGUCGUAAAGCUCUGUCGGAGGGAACGAAUGCUCCUGAAGUUAACAGCCUCAGGAGGUGACGGUACCCUCAAAGGAAGCACCGGCUAACUCUGUGCCAGCAGCCGCGGUAAUACAGAGGGUGCAAGCGUUGUUCGGAAUCAUUGGGCGUAAAGCGUGCGCAGGCGGUUAUGCAAGACAGGUGUGAAAUCCCCGGGCUUAACCUGGGAACUGCACUUGUGACUGCAUAGCUGGAGUACGGCAGAGGGGGAUGGAAUUCCGCGUGUAGCAGUGAAAUGCGUAGAUAUGCGGAGGAACACCGAUGGCGAAGGCAGUCCCCUGGGCCUGUACUGACGCUCAUGCACGAAAGCGUGGGGAGCAAACAGGAUUAGAUACCCAUGUAGUCCCUGAGCGGGCUGGCAAGGCGCAU
rnacentral:rRNA from 1 species